rnacentral:rRNA from 1 species
GAGUUUGAUCCUGGCUCAGAAUCAACGCUGGCGGCGUGCCUAACACAUGCAAGUCGAACGCGAAAGUCCCGCAAGGGAUCAGUAGAGUGGCAAACGGGUGAGUAACGCGUGGGUGACCUGCCUUCGAGCGGGGGAUAACGUUCCGAAAGGGACGCUAAUACCGCAUGACAUCCUGCCUUUGAAGAGGUGGAGAUCAAAGCUGGGGAUCGCAAGACCUAGCACUCGAAGAGGGGCCCGCGUCCGAUUAGCUAGUUGGUGAGGUAACGGCUCACCAAGGCUUCGAUCGGUAGCCGGCCUGAGAGGGCGGACGGCCACACUGGGACUGAGACACGGCCCAGACUCCUACGGGAGGCAGCAGUGGGGAAUCUUGCGCAAUGCGCGAAAGCGUGACGCAGCAACGCCGCGUGGGGGAAGACGGCCUUCGGGUUGUAAACCCCUUUCAGGAGGGACGAAGGUUCACCGGUGAAUAGCCGUGUGGAUUGACGGUACCUCCACAAGAAGCUCCGGCUAACUACGUGCCAGCAGCCGCGGUAAUACGUAGGGAGCAAGCGUUGUCCGGAAUCAUUGGGCGUAAAGCGCGCGUAGGUGGCUCUAUAAGUCCGUUGUGAAAGUCAAAGGCUCAACCUUUGAAAGCCGAUGGAUACUGUAGAGCUAGAGUCCGGAGGAGGCGAGUGGAAUUCCUGGUGUAGCGGUGGAAUGCGCAGAUAUCAGGAGGAACACCAAUAGCGAAGGCAGCUCGCUGGGACGUGACUGACACUAAGGCGCGAAAGCGUGGGGAGCGAACAGGAUUAGAUACCCUGGUAGUCCACGCCGUAAACGAUGGGCAUUAGGUGUGGGAGGUGUCGACUCCUCCCGUGCCGUCGCUAACGCACUAAAUGCCCCGCCUGGGGAGUACGGCCGCAAGGCUAAAACUCAAAGGAAUUGACGGGGGCCCGCACAAGCAGCGGAGCGUGUGGUUUAAUUCGAGGCUACACGAAGAACCUUACCUGGGUUUGACAUAGGCGUGGUAGGGAACCGAAAGGGGACCGACCUUCGGGAGCGUCUACAGGUGCUGCAUGGCUGUCCUCAGCUCGUGUCGUGAGAUGUUCGGUUAAGUCCGAAAACGAGCGCAACCCUCGGGUCUAGUUACACGUGUCUAGACCGACUGCCCGGGAGAACCGGGAGGAAGGUGGGGAUGACGUCAAGUCAUCAUGGCCUUUAUGGGUAGGGCUACACACGUGCUACAAUGGGGCGUACAGAGGGUAGCGAACCUGCGAAGGGGAGCCAAUCUUAAGAAAGCGCCUCGUAGUCCAGAUUGGAGUCUGCAACUCGACUCCAUGAAGUUGGAAUCGCUAGUAAUCGCGAAUCAGCAACGUCGCGGUGAAUACGUUCCCGGGCCUUGUACACAC